rnacentral:rRNA from 1 species
GUGGGGAAUCUUGCGCAAUGGGCGAAAGCCUGACGCAGCCAUGCCGCGUGAAUGAUGAAGGUCUUAGGAUUGUAAAAUUCUUUCACCGGGGACGAUAAUGACGGUACCCGGAGAAGAAGCUCCGGCUAACUUCGUGCCAGCAGCCGCGGUAAUACGAAGGGGGCUAGCGUUGCUCGGAAUUACUGGGCGUAAAGGGCGCGUAGGCGGACAGCUUAGUCAGAGGUGAAAGCCCAGGGCUCAACCUUGGAAUUGCCUUUGAUACUGGCUGUCUUGAGUACGGGAGAGGUGAGUGGAACUCCGAGUGUAGAGGUGAAAUUCGUAGAUAUUCGGAAGAACACCAGUGGCGAAGGCGACUCACUGGCCCGUUACUGACGCUGAGGCGCGAAAGCGUGGGGAGCAAACAGGAUUAGAUACCCCUGUAGUCC